rnacentral:lncRNA from 1 species
GGCCCCGCGGGGCGGCGGGGCGGAGCCCGGCGGGCGGAAGUGUGGCUCUGGGCUCCUCUGCGGUGCGUGGGAGGCCUUGCUUCUUGGAUGCCUGUCAAGAUCCCUUCAGCUCCCCUUCACAAGUGUCAUGAAAUCUGAGACCAGACACCUCUAGAAAUAAUACUGUGGGUUGCGCCCAGGUUUGCCCGGUAUGAACUGCGGAUGAGCAUGAGGAGAAUUUCCGAAGAGAGGGCCCAAGACCCAAGGCCCCGGUUGGAUUUUGGAAGCCAAGACUUGUGUUAGUCUCAAAACACAGGACUUGUUGCUUCUGUCUGCCCGAAUUCAUUCCAAUUAAAAUUUGUUUCUGAGAAGGUGAAAACAGUGUGCUUCUACCUGGGCAUACAUGAAGAUGGAACGACUGAAUGCAGAGAUUUUCAAAUGUGAAGGAAGGGAAGGGAAGUUUUGCUUAUUUAAAAGCUUGACUAAACUGGAGCUACCCUGUGUCUGUAAAAUCUCUGCUUCUGUGUACACAGGCCUUCUGUUUUAUCAGAACUGCUUUUCCUCAAGCCCAUUGUCUAAAUCACAGUUCAGCACGUCGAAGCAGCCUAUCCAGCACAACCUAAGGCGACCAGGAAAGAGGACUUUCAGAUCUGAUUCAGAAGGGGCAAGGAUGGUGUGAAUAUGUUUGAGGUAAGGGG